rnacentral:tRNA from 1 species
AUCUAAAUAGUUUAAUUAAAAUAUUGAUUUGUGGGGUCGAUGAUGUAAUUUUGUUACUUUAGAUA